rnacentral:rRNA from 1 species
CGACAAGGUUUCCGUAGGUGAACCUGCGGAAGGAUCAUUAUUGAAUUAAAUGUGGAGUUGGUUGUAGCUGGCCUUGAUUCAUUUUCUAGGCAUGUGCACACCUUCUCUUUCAUCCACACACACCUGUGCACCUGUGAGACAGUUGGGGUGGGAGGACUUUAUUGGACUCUCUCUCCCUCUCUGUCUACUCAAUUUUUACACAAACUCAAUUUAUUUUAAAAUGAAUGUCAUUGAUGUAACGCAUCUAAUACUAAGUUUCAACAACGGAUCUCUUGGCUCUCGCAUCGAUGAAGAACGCAGCGAAAUGCGAUAAGUAAUGUGAAUUGCAGAAUUCAGUGAAUCAUCGAAUCUUUGAACGCACCUUGCGCUCCUUGGUAUUCCUUGGAGCAUGCCUGUUUGAGUAUCAUGAAAUCUUCAAAGUGAAUCUUUUGUUAAUUGAAUCGGUUCUACUUUGGUAUUUGGAGGUCUUUUGCAGCUUCACACCUGCUCCUCUUUGUGCAUUAGCUGGAUCUCAGUGUUAUGCUUGGUUCCACUCAGCGUGAUAAGUUAUCUAUCGCUGAGGACACUGUAAAAAGGUGGCCAAGGUAAAUACAGAUGAACCGCUUCUAAUAGUCCAUUGACUUGGACAAAUCCAUUUAUGAUCUGAUCUCAAAUCAGGUAGGACUACCCGCUGAACUUAAGCAUAC